rnacentral:lncRNA from 1 species
GGAGCUGUUAAAUCUGGGGUCUCACUUCUCAAGGCAUCCUGUUCCCCGAGGCUGCGCGCUCUGUCCCUGUGGGACUGUGAAAUGUGACCCUGUGAGCUCUGGCAGAGGCUCCUGCCUCUGGAGGCCUGGGGUCACCCUGGUGCCAGUAGUCACCUGCAAGGCUUGGUUGGCCAGGGACCCGAGUGAGGGCAACGGAGCAGAAUGCCCGCUCCUGCCUUCUCGCUGGCGUCAGCUCACGUCCCUUCCUCCCUCCCAGGAGUCCUGUCUACCAAGGUGACUCUCCUCGGCCCGAGAGAAUCAGGGAACCAAGAAUGAGAAAAGUGUGUCUUACGCCAAGGACCACGGCAGCAGAGGAGGAUGCAGCCCAGACAACUCACUGGUGGCCCAGGACGCACGGAGUGGACCCGAGGCGUUGUGAGGCACCCUCUCAUCCUCGGUUUCACGCUGCGCCUCACUUCUGGUGCCCUGAGACUCCGAAAUCUCCACCCCGCUGGAAUGCACAACUCAGUGCCCACUGUGUGCAAAGAAACCCUGAGGACUUUAGACUGAGCAGCAUUUCAGAAACAUCACUGUGCUGAGGACUAAAGAAAAGUCAGCAAUCACAGAAAUUGCCACAUGCAUUUGGAAUGAUGAAAAUAAAGAGAAAAGGCAGAUACAUGGGAAAUAGGAAUGUUUCAUGGUUGUCUUUGUUGAGGGGAUUGCUAGACAGGAAAGAGACUACACCACAUUCUAUCAUAUUUAAUAGAACAGGUGGCACAAAUAUUAUAAAAAACAGAUUUUUUAAAGCCCAUGUAAGAGGAAUUUCAGAAAUUACAGCUGUUC